GAUGAACGCUAGCGGGAGGCUUAACACAUGCAAGUCGAGGGGUAUAGUAGCAAUACUAGAGACCGGCGGACGGGUGCGUAACGCGUAUGCAACCUGCCUUAUACAGGGGGAUAGCCCGUGGAAACGCGGAUUAAUACCCCAUAGGUCACUGGUGCUGCAUGGCACAGGUGGUAAAACUGAGGUGGUAUAAGAUGGGCAUGCGUCUGAUUAGCUAGUUGGUAAGGUAACGGCUUACCGAGGCGACGAUCAGUAGGGGUUCUGAGAGGAUAAUCCCCCACACUGGUACUGAGACACGGACCAGACUCCUACGGGAGGCAGCAGUGAGGAAUAUUGGUCAAUGGGCGCGAGCCUGAACCAGCCAUUCCGCGUGAAGGAAGAAGGCCUUAUGGGUUGUAAACUUCUUUUCUGUAAGAAGAAUAGCCCCGACGUGUCGGGGUGUGACGGUGUUAUAGGAAUAAGCAUCGGCUAACUCCGUGCCAGCCGCCGCAGUAAGAC
rnacentral:rRNA from 1 species